AUUGAACGCUGGCGGCAGGCCUAACACAUGCAAGUCGAACGGUAACAGGAAACAGCUUGCUGUUUCGCUGACGAGUGGCGGACGGGUGAGUAAUGUCUGGGAAACUGCCUGAUGGAGGGGGAUAACUACUGGAAACGGUAGCUAAUACCGCAUAACGUCGCAAGACCAAAGAGGGGGACCUUCGGGCCUCUUGCCAUCGGAUGUGCCCAGAUGGGAUUAGCUAGUAGGUGGGGUAACGGCUCACCUAGGCGACGAUCCCUAGCUGGUCUGAGAGGAUGACCAGCCACACUGGAACUGAGACACGGUCCAGACUCCUAAGGGAGGCAGCAGUGGGGAAUAUUGCACAAUGGGCGCAAGCCUGAUGCAGCCAUGCCGCGUGUAUGAAGAAGGCCUUCGGGUUGUAAAGUACUUUCAGCGGGGAGGAAGGGAGUAAAGUUAAUACCUUUGCUCAUUGACGUUACCCGCAGAAGAAGCACCGGCUAACUCCGUG
rnacentral:rRNA from 1 species